rnacentral:misc_RNA from 1 species
GAUGAAGAACGCAGCGAAAUGCGAUAAGUAAUGUGAAUUGCAGAAUUCAGUGAAUCAUCGAAUCUUUGAACGCACCUUGCGCUCCUUGGUAUUCCGAGGAGCAUGCCUGUUUGAGUGUCAUGAAAUUCUCAACCUUUUCAGCUUUCUUUGUUGAUCAGGCUUGGAUGUGGGAGUAUGCGGGCUUCUCAGAAGUCGGCUCUCCUGAAAUGCAUUAGCGGGACCUUUGUUGCCUGGCUUUGGUGUGAUAAUUAUCUACGCCAUUGUAGUCAAGCAGCUUAAAAUGAGGUUUCAGCUUCUAACCGUCUCCCCUGAGACAGCUUUUUGACAAUUUGACCUCAAAUCAGGUAGGACUACCCGCUGAACUUAAGCAUAUCAAUAAGCGGAGGA